AUAAAUGUUUAAAAUGCCACUUACAGUUUAUGGCUUUAUUUCUAUAGAUAUAUUUAAUAAUAUUUACCCUAUUCUUAUGAUAUCAAAUGUCCUGUCUAAAAGUUCUAUCUUAUAUCAGUGAGUUAAAAUUUACUACCUAUUUUCUCCUCUUUUAGAUUCAAGACAUCGGGUCUUAUGCUACAACUUUGAAACAUUUGCAGUCGAGAAUUGGAGGGCAGUUAAUAAAUAUGUAAUUUCAUUCUUUUACCUGCAGCCAUUCCCAUUGAUCAGAAUCAUUUAUUACAAUUUUUAAAUUUUAUUAAACCAACAGAUGUCACUGUGGGAUUAUAUGUAAGUCCUCAUUUCUAAUCAAUUGAUUCAUGUAUUAACUUUUCUGAUAUAUUGUGUAGACUUUUCACUUCAGCUGUGUAGGACAAUGUGAUAUCUGGGAUCCUGAUAAUUCAUUCUGUUCUAUUAUGCAUGGCUUUUACUGUGUUGUUGUUGUUGUUUUUCUUUUUCUGUUUGUUUUUGGCCAAAGUGAAACUUCUUGUUCCCAUAUGAAAUUACAAUUACAUUUUUAAUUGUGUAUGAAAAAUUUUGGUUGGAGAUUACAUUAAAUGUGUGAAUUGCUUUUGGAAGAAUGCCAUUUAUAAUGUAAUAGCUCUGUUAUCUUAUAACCAUGGAGGAAUUUUAUCCUGAAAUUUCUUUAAUAUUUUUACUUUCUUAAAUUGUCAGCGUACCCUUUUACGUUUUGGAUGUGUAUGUGUUCAUGUGUGGGUGUGUGUGCAUGUGUGCUUGCAUGCUUUGUGAAUGGCAUGUUUUUCUAUGAUUUCUUAAAUAGUAAUAUUGUUAUACAUGAAACUUACUGAAUUAUUUUGUGCUAAUUUUUUAUCCUGUCACCUUUGUGGGGUCCAUCAGUAGCAAUAGGUUUCUUGUUUAAAAUUAAGGAAAAUUUACAUUUAAAAUAAGAUGAUAUUCAAAUGAACAUAUUUAACCACUGAUAUUCCAUUUUUGUUACAUUUUUCUCCAUCACUCUUUCCCUUGAAUUGACUCCUAAUAAUAUAAUAAGUAGGCAAGAAAAUGAACAUUCUUGUUUUCUUCCAAAAUGUUAUUAAUAUUUGUCACCGUAAUGUAAUUCUGGCUCUGACGUUGUCAUAUAUUGUCUCUCUUAAUUCAAAAUAUGUUCUCUGUAUCCUUACCAGUGGCUGCAUUUUUUAGGAAAAGUGACCCUUGCUCAUCAGGCAGUCAUUAGUGCUAAGGGAGCCCAGCUUUAUAAACUGCAGUUGAAUUUGUUUCUGAAUGGGCGGGGAAGGAUUUCAUCUGGAAGCAAUGGGAAGAAAAGGGACUAAAUUUUUCAAAGAAGAAAAAGUAGAUGAAAGUUACCAUGUUGUGACCUGUAAUUUCACAUUGGGAGAGAUGAACGUGGAGUACUUGUCUGAGGACACUUUGGAUUACACUAAUUAGAAGGAACCCUAGGCUGCAGUUUGUGAGUAUGUAUCAAAAAGUCACCAAAAGAAGUGAGUUUAAAUGAUGAUAUAAAUGAACAAAUAACUAAUUUAUCUGAGAUGUAAGUAGAGUAAAAUAUUUUGCAGUAACUAAAUAUUACAUGUUUGAACAAAAGGACAAUACAAAUCAAAUCAAAUGAUUUUUACGCUUUUCAAACCAUUGACACAUAGGGAUGUUGCUCAAAAUAGGAUGUAUGCCCAGUGUGUUACAGUUCCUGAGUUGAAAUCCCACUGUUUCAGUGAAAAAAUAAUUUGACUCACCAGUGAGUUGGCAGGUUAUAUAAAAUGAACUCCAGUCAAAACAGAGUUCCAUCCUGGAGAGUAUCAGAGUAGUAGUAGAGGAUUGACUUGCACAAUUUUGCUCUGACCAAUAGAAAUGUAUCCUCUGAAGACUAGCUUAAUUAAAUGUUAGUACCUAAAGAUGAAUCAAUAUGGAAUCUGUAUUAGUUUUUGAAUUACUAAUUUUGAAAAUUGAUUUUUUUCAUUCAAUAUAUUAUA